UACGUAGGGACCGAGCGUUGUCCGGAAUCAUUGGGCGUAAAGAGCGUGUAGGCGGCCACUUAAGUCCUGCGUGAAAUCUUGCGGCUCAACCGCAAGCGGUCGUGGGAAACUGGGUGGCUAGAGUGCGGGAGAGGAGACUGGAAUUCCUGGUGUAGCGGUGAAAUGCGCAGAUAUCAGGAGGAACACCGGUGGCGAAGGCGGGUCUCUGGGCCGAUAUCGACGCUGAUGAGCGAAAGCUAGGGGAGCAAACGGG
rnacentral:rRNA from 1 species